AGCAGCCGCGGUAAUUCCAGCUCCAAUAGCGUAUAUUAAAGUUGUUGAGGUUAAAAAGCUCGUAGUUGAACCUUGGCCCUGGCUGGCUGGUCCGCCUCACCGCGAGCACUGGUCCGGCCGGGGCUUUCCCUCUGGGGAUCCACAUGCCCUUCACUGGGUGUGCUGGGGAACCAGGACUUUUACUGUGAACAAAUCAGAUCGCUCAAAGAAGGCUCUCGCUCGAAUGCUUCAGCAUGGAAUAAUGAAAUAGGACGCGCGGUUCUAUUUUGUUGGUUUCUAGGACCGCCGUAAUGAUUAAUAGGGACAGUCGGGGGCAUCAGUAUUCAAUUGUCAGAGGUGAAAUUCUUGGAUCAAUUGAAGACUAACUACUGCGAAAGCAUUUGCCAAGGAUGUUUUCAUUAAUCAGGAACGAAAGUUAGGGGAUCGAAGACGAUCAGAUACCGUCGUAGUCUUAACCAUAAACUAUG
rnacentral:rRNA from 1 species